GACGAACGCUGGCGGCGUGCCUAACACAUGCAAGUCGAACGGAACUGUUUUGAAAGAUUUCUUCGGAAUGAAUUUGAUUUAGUUUAGUGGCGGACGGGUGAGUAACGCGUGAGUAACCUGCCUUCAAGAGGGGAAUAACAUUCUGAAAAGAAUGCUAACACCGCAUGACAUAUCGGAACCACAUGGUUUUGAUAUCAAAGAUUUUAUCGCUUGAAGAUGGACUCGCGUCCGAUUAGUUAGUUGGUGAGGUAACGGCUCACCAAGACCGCGAUCGGUAGCCGGACUGAGAGGUUGAACGGCCACAUUGGGACUGAGACACGGCCCAGACUCCUACGGGAGGCAGCAGUGGGGGAUAUUGCGCAAUGGGGGCAACCCUGACGCAGCAACGCCGCGUGAAGGAUGAAGGUUUUCGGAUUGUAAACUUCUUUUAUUAAGGACGAAAAAUGACGGUACUUAAUGAGUAAGCUCCGGCUAACUACGU
rnacentral:rRNA from 1 species